rnacentral:lncRNA from 1 species
CCACAGUGCACUUUACAAAAUUGUGUCGAAGCCUCCACUCUAGCACAAAAAGAGCAAUUAAAAUAAAUUUCACAUUGGAUUUCUUUAAUGAUUAAGGCUAAGGAAAUAAAAAAAGAUAAAGAUCAAUGUCCAUGAAGGGAAGUUUAGAGCCUUACCUUUUCAUGCUGGUCAGUAGACUGUGAAAGAUUGGACGCCCUCCCCCUCGAUUAAAUUGAAGAUACAACAAUGA